UACGUAGGGGGCAAGCGUUAUCCGGAAUUACUGGGCGUAAAGGGUGCGUAGGUGGUUUCUUAAGUCAGAGGUGAAAGGCUACGGCUCAACCGUAGUAAGCCUUUGAAACUGGGAAACUUGAGUGCAGGAGAGGAGAGUGGAAUUCCUAGUGUAGCGGUGAAAUGCGUAGAUAUUAGGAGGAACACCAGUGGCGAAGGCGAUUCUCUGGACUGUAACUGACGCUGAGGCUCGAAAGCGUGGGGAGCAAACAGG
rnacentral:rRNA from 1 species